rnacentral:rRNA from 1 species
UGGUCCUCGGUGACAGGUCUACCACCGGGAUGUUCAUAACCCUUUGUUGUCCGACUCUGUUGCCUCCGGGGCGACCCUGCCUUCGGGCGGGGGCUCCGGGUGGACACUUCAAACUCUUGCGUAACUUUGCAGUCUGAGUAAACUUAAUUAAUAAAUUAAAACUUUUAACAACGGAUCUCUUGGUUCUGGCAUCGAUGAAGAACGCAGCGAAAUGCGAUAAGUAAUGUGAAUUGCAGAAUUCAGUGAAUCAUCGAAUCUUUGAACGCACAUUGCGCCCCCUGGUAUUCCGGGGGGCAUGCCUGUUCGAGCGUCAUUUCACCACUCAAGCCUCGCUUGGUAUUGGGCAACGCGGUCCGCCGCGUGCCUCAAAUCGACCGGCUGGGUCUUCUGUCCCCUAAGCGUUGUGGAAACUAUUCGCUAAAGGGUGCUCGGGAGGCUACGCCGUAAAACAAACCCAUUUCUAAGGUUGACCUCGGAUCAGGUAGGGAUACCCGCUGAACUUAAGCAUAUCAAUAAGCGGAGGAA